UAAUCUACUGUUAUGAUGGGCAGAAUUC
rnacentral:sRNA from 1 species